rnacentral:rRNA from 1 species
UACGUAGGGUGCAAGCGUUGUCCGGAAUUAUUGGGCGUAAAGAGCUCGUAGGCGGUUCGUCGCGUCGGCUGUGAAAACCCGGAGCUCAACUCCGGGCCUGCAGUCGAUACGGGCGGACUUGAGUGUUGCAGGGGAGACUGGAAUUCCUGGUGUAGCGGUGAAAUGCGUAGAUAUCAAGAGGAACACCUGCGGCGAAGGCGGGUUGCUGGGCCGACACUGACGCUGAUGCGCGAAAGCUAGGGGAGCGAACGGG